UAGGGCGAAAGCCUGAUCCAGCCAUGCCGCGUGGGUGAAGAAGGCCUUAGGGUUGUAAACCCUUUCAGCGGGGAAGAUAAUGACGGUACCCGCAGAAGAAGCCCCGGCUAACUCCGUGCCAGCAGCCGCGGUAAUACGGAGGGAGCUAGCGUUGUUCGGAAUUACUGGGCGUAAAGCGCGCGUAGGCGGAUCUGCAAGUCAGGGGUGAAAUCCCGAGGCUCAACCUCGGAACUGCCUUUGAUACUGCGGAUCUCGAGUCCGAGAGAGGUGAGUGGAAUUCCUAGUGUAGAGGUGAAAUUCGUAGAUAUUAGGAAGAACACCAGUGGCGAAGGCGGCUCACUGGCUCGGUACUGACGCUGAGGCGCGAAAGCGUGGGGAGCAAACAGGAUUAGAUACCCUGGUAGUCCACGCCGUAAACUAUGGGUGCUAGCCGUCGGAGAGCAUGCUCUUCGGUGGCGCAGCAAACGCAUUAAGCACCCCGCCUGGGGAGUACGGUCGCAAGAUUA
rnacentral:rRNA from 1 species